UCCCAUAUUGUCUAGUGGUUAGGAUGAUGGCUCUCACCCAGGAGGCCCGGGUUCAAUUCCCGGUAUGGGAA
rnacentral:tRNA from 1 species